UCUGUCAGCCUCCAGAUUCAGAAGAACUUUGCCAAGAGCAAGUGGAGGGAACUUCAAGUCAGAGGUCAUGGUACCAGUGAAAGCAGGUGGCAGCACCCACUGCCGGGCUGGGCAGACUGGGGUGUGUCUCAUAAUGUGAUCCCAGGAGCCCGUGUGGUUUUUCAGGAGACACGUCUAGCUCUUCUCUGCCUCUCUAAGCUGGCGUCUGCUCUGAGGAAAGGGAGCAGCAAAGCAGGGAUAGCCGAAGCGGCUGGUCUGAGGCAGUAGGGGUGUUGCUGCCUGGGCAGACACUCGCAGGAAGUCCAGAGGAGCUCCAAUCCUGGACGUUCUCUGAGGCCACAAGCAGGAUGUGUGGUCUGCCUCCAGCAUCCCAGCCUCCAGGUCUCCAGACCUGCCCAUUCCCUUCCCCACAUCCUAUGUGCAGUGGCUCUGUGCAGUGUCCAUAGAUAGUGCUCAUCUGGGUCCGUAUUGUUUGUUGUGAAAAGCUUUAUGGGCUGGCCAGGCUGUGCCACUUUCUUCAAGCAAAGCCAUAUGGAGUCUAACUCAGACUCCCUGCUCUGCAUACUCACUCCGGCCUCUCUGGCCUCAUGGCCAGAUUGAACCCGUUAUCAUAGUACCUGCCUAUCCGCAUGAAUGCCAGCCUGCUUCAGGGGCCUGGGAGCACUCACAGCUCUAGUCCUCCCCUCCAGGAUUAGCUUCCCACUGCACUGAGACCCAGGCCACUUCAAAGCUCUCCCUGCCUCCGCCUAACAGCAGUGCCCCCAUUCUCCAUGGUGGAACGAGAAAGCUGAGACUAUGGACUGUGAGCCUUCUCUCCCAGCCACACACCUCACAUAUCCCUAACUAAGGAUUCGGGGACUAUUUCCAUGUCGGCCAGGUCUCCUCUGGCUCCUUCCAUUCCCCUGAAGGUCAGGUGCAUUGUUCUGUCUCUCUGUGUUCUUACCCUCAUACCCUCAAGCUUCGUGCUGUGUUGUGCUCAAAUAAAAUGGACAUAUUUUUCUCU
rnacentral:lncRNA from 1 species